CACAAGCGGUGGAUGAUGUGGUUAAUUCGAUGCAACGCGAAAACCUUACCACCUUUGACAUGUACGAAUCCUUUAGAGAUAGAGGAGUGCUCGAAAGAGAACCGUAACACAGGUGCUGCAUGGCUGUCGUCAGCUCGUGUCGUGAGAUGUUGGGUUAAGUCCCGCAACGAGCGCAACCCUUGUCAUUAGUUGCUACAUUCAGUUGGGCACUCUAAUGAGACUGCCGGUGACAAACCGGAGGAAGGUGGGGAUGACGUCAAGUCCUCAUGGCCCUUAUAGGUGGGGCUACACACGUCAUACAAUGGAUGGUACAAAGGGUCGCCAACCCGCGAGGGGGAGCCAAUCCCAUAAAGCCAUUCGUAGUCCGGAUCGCAGUCUGCAACUCGACUGCGUGAAGUCGGAAUCGCUAGUAAUCGUGGAUCAGAAUGUCACGGUGAAUACGUUCCCGGGUCUU
rnacentral:rRNA from 1 species